UACGUAGGGUGCAAGCGUUAUCGGAAUUACUGGGCGUAAAGCGUGCGCAGGCGGAUUUCCAAGUCAGGAGUGAAAUCCCAGGGCUUAACCCUGGAAUUGGCUUUUGAAACUGGAUGUCUGGAGUCUCGGAGAGGUUGGCGGAAUUCCCAGUGUAGAGGUGAAUUCGAUAGAUAUUGGGAGGAACACCAGUGGCGUAAGCCGGACCAACUGGACGAGCGACUGAUGCUCGAGUGCCACGAAAAGGUGUGGGGAGUACAAAACAGGG
rnacentral:rRNA from 1 species